rnacentral:rRNA from 1 species
UCGGGAAUUUUGGGCAAUGGGGGAAACCCUGACCCAGCAACGCCGCGUGAAGGAUGAAGUAUUUCGGUAUGUAAACUUCGAAAGAAUAGGAAGAAUUAAUGACGGUACUAUUUAUAAGGUCCGGCUAACUACGUGCCAGCAGCCGCGGUAAUACGUAGGGACCAAGCGUUGUUCGGAUUUACUGGGCGUAAAGGGCGCGUAGGCGGCAUAGUCAGUCACUUGUGAAAUCUCCGGGCUUAACUCGGAACGGUCAAGUGAUACUGCUGUGCUAGAGUGCAGAAGGGGCAAUCGGAAUUCUUGGUGUAGCGGUGAAAUGCGUAGAUAUCAAGAGGAACACCAGAGGUGAAGACGGGUUGCUGGGCUGACACUGACGCUGAUGCGCGAAAGCCAGGGGAGCAAACGG